AGCGAACGCUGGCGGCAGGCCUAACACAUGCAAGUCGAACGAACUCUUCGGAGUUAGUGGCGGACGGGUGAGUAACCCGUGGGAACGUUCCCUUUGGUUCGGAAUAACUCUGGGAAACUUGUGAUAAUACCGAAUGUGACCUUCGGGGGAAAGAUUUAUUGCGAUUGGAGCGGCCCGCGUCUGAUUCGCUAGUUGGUGAGGUAAUGGCUCACUAAGGCGACGAUCAGUAGCUGGUCUGAGAGACUGACUAGCGACACUAGGACUGAGACACGGCCCGGACUCCUACGGGAGGCAGCAGUGGGGAAUCUUGCGCAAUGGGGGAAAGGCUGACGCAGCCAUGCCGCGUGAAUGAUGAAGGUCUUAGGAUUGUAAAAUUCUUUCACCGGGGACGAUAAUGACGGUACCCGGAGAAGAAGCCCCGGCUAACUUCGUG
rnacentral:rRNA from 1 species